rnacentral:rRNA from 1 species
ACGGGUGAGUAAUAUAUCGGAACGUGCCCAGUCGUGGGGGAUAACGUAGAGAAAUUUACGCUAAUACCGCGUACGAUCUAAGGAUGAAAGCGGGGGAUCGCAAGACCUCGCGCGAUUGGAGCGGCUGAUAUCAGAUUAGGUUGUUGGUGAGGUAAAAGCUCACCAAGCCGACGAUCUGUAGCUGGUUUGAGAGAACGACCAGCCACACUGGGACUGAGACACGGCCCAGACUCCUACGGGAGGCAGCAGUGGGGAAUUUUGGACAAUGGGCGAAAGCCUGAUCCAGCAAUGCCGCGUGCAGGAAGAAGGCCUUCGGGUUGUAAACUGCUUUUGUACGGAACGAAACGGCUCUUUCUAAUAAAGGGGGCUAAUGACGGUACCGUAAGAAUAAGCACCGGCUAACUACGUGCCAGCAGCCGCGGUAAUACGUAGGGUGCGAGCGUUAAUCGGAAUUACUGGGCGUAAAGCGUGCGCAGGCGGUUAUAUAAGACAGUUGUGAAAUCCCCGGGCUCAACCUGGGAAUUGCAUCUGUGACUGUAUAGCUAGAGUACGGUAGAGGGGGAUGGAAUUCCGCGUGUAGCAGUGAAAUGC